rnacentral:rRNA from 1 species
UGGGGAAUAUUGGACAAUGGGCGAAAGCCUGAUCCAGCCAUGCCGCGUGUGUGAAGAAGGUCUUCGGAUUGUAAAGCACUUUAAGUUGGGAGGAAGGGCAUUAACCUAAUACGUUAGUGUUUUGACGUUACCGACAGAAUAAGCACCGGCUAACUCUGUGCAAGCAGCCGCGGUAAUACAGAGGGAGCAAGCGUUAAUCGGAAUUACUGGGCGUAAAGCGCGCGUAGGUGGUUUGUUAAGUUGGAUGUGAAAUCCCCGGGCUCAACCUGGGAACUGCAUUCAAAACUGACUGACUAGAGUAUGGUAGAGGGUGGUGGAAUUUCCUGUGUAGCGGUGAAAUGCGUAGAUAUAGGAAGGAACACCAGUGGCGAAGGCGACCACCUGGACUAAUACUGACACUGAGGUGCGAAAGCGUGGGGAGCAAACA